UUUCCGUAGGUGAACCUGCGGAAGGAUCAUUAUUGAAAAAGACAAGACGCCCCGUUUUUUCGUAAAAUGGGUUCAAUACCCACAACCGUGUAUACCUUACCUUUUGUUGCUUUGGCAGGCCGCCUCCGGGCGUUGGCUUCGGCUGACAGCGCCUGCCAGAGGACCCAAACUCUGUGUUCAGUGAUGUCUGAGUAAUAUAUAAUAUUUUAAAACUUUCAACAACGGAUCUCUUGGUUCU
rnacentral:misc_RNA from 1 species